rnacentral:rRNA from 1 species
CCUACGGGUGGCAGCAGUGAGGAAUAUUGGUCAAUGGGCGGGAGCCUGAACCAGCCAAGUCGCGUGAAGGAAGAAGGUACUUAGUAUUGUAAACUUCUUUUGUCGGGGAACAAAGGCGGAGACGCGUCUCCGGAUGAGUGUACCCGACGAAAAAGCAUCGGCUAACUCCGUGCCAGCAGCCGCGGUAAUACGGAGGAUGCGAGCGUUAUCCGGAUUUAUUGGGUUUAAAGGGUGCGCAGGGGGGAGAUGAAGUCAGCGGUAAAAUGUCGGGGCUAAACCCCGGCCGGCCGUUGAAACUGGUUGUCUAGAGUGGGAGAGAAGUAUGCGGAAUUCGUGGUGUAGCGGUGAAAUGCAUAGAUAUCACGAAGAACUCCGAUGGCGAAGGCAUCUCACGAAUCCGCGAUUGACGCUGAUGCACGAAAGCGUGGGUAUCAAACAGGAUUAGAUACCCGAGUAGUC